AUGAAAGGUAAUGCUAAUGGCCUAAAAAAACUUAUUAUGGAUGAGUCUCCUUCUGCCUAUUAUGUUCAUUGUUUUGCCCAUCAACUACAAUUAACUCUUGUUGCUGUUGCCAAAGAGAGUGGUGAUUGUACUUGGUUCUUUCAACAACUUGCACACUUGUUAAAUGCUCUUGGCAUGUCUUGUAAAAAGAUGAGAAUGCUUCGUAUAGCUCAGGCUGAGGAACUCAUUGAUGCAUUGGAAUUGGAAGAAGUAGAGACGGAGAGUGGGCUGAAUCAGGAAAUGGGUUUGGGAAGGCCAUGUGAUACACGUUGGGGCUCUCACUUUAAAACCGUGAACCAUGUCAUCUGUAUGUAUGGUGCAAUACGAUGA
rnacentral:rRNA from 1 species